rnacentral:rRNA from 1 species
AGUGAACGCUGGCGGCAGGCCUAACACAUGCAAGUCGAGCGGCAGCGCGGGGGCAACCCUGGCGGCGAGCGGCGGACGGGUGAGGCAUUCGUCGGAAUCUGCCUUUUUGUGGGGGAUAACGUAGGGAAACUUACGCUAAUACCGCAUACGUCCUACGGGAGACAGUGGGGGACCGCAAGGCCUCACGCAGAAAGAUGAGCCGACGACCGAUUAGCUAGUUGGUGGGGUAAAGGCCCACCAAGGCGACGAACGGUAGCUGGUCCUAGAGGAUGAUCAGCCACACUGGGAGUGAGACACGGCCCAGACUCCUACGGUAGGCAGCAGUGGGGAAUAUUGGACAAGGGGGGCAAGCCUGAUCCAGCCAUGCCGCGUGUGUGAAGAAGGCCUUCGGGUGGUAAAGCACUUUUGGCCGGAGAGAAGUCCCUGGAGCUAAUACCGUCGGGGGAUGACGGUACCGGAAGAAUAAGCACCGGCUAACUUCGUG